rnacentral:rRNA from 1 species
AUUGAACGCUGGCGGCAGGCCUAACACAUGCAAGUCGAGCGAGUGGCGGACGGGUGAGUAAUGCUUGGGAAUCUAGCUUAUGGAGGGGGAUAACUACGGGAAACUGUAGCUAAUACCGCGUACCAUAGGAUGAGCCCAAGUGGGAUUAGGUAGUUGGUGGGGUAAAGGCUCACCAAGCCGACGAUCUCUAGCUGGUCUGAGAGGAUGACCAGCCAAACGGGGACGUAGACAAGGCCCAGACUCCUACGGGAGGCAGCAGUGGGGAAUAUUGCGCAAGGGGGGCAACCCUGACGCAGCCAUGCCGGGUGAAUGAAGAAGGCCUUCGGGUUGUAAAGUACUUUCAGCGAGGAGGCGUUACUCGCAGAAGAAGCACCGGCUAACUCCGUGCCAGCCGCCGCGGUAAUAC